rnacentral:rRNA from 1 species
ACUCCUACGGGAGGCAGCAGUGGGGAAUAUUGCACAAUGGGCGCAAGCCUGAUGCAGCCAUGCCGCGUGUAUGAAGAAGGCCUUCGGGUUGUAAAGUACUUUCAGCAGUGAGGAAGGUGGGUAUGUUAAUAGCAUACUCAUUUGACGUUAGCUGCAGAAGAAGCACCGGCUAACUCCGUGCCAGCAGCCGCGGUAAUACGGAGGGUGCGAGCGUUAAUCGGAAUUACUGGGCGUAAAGCGCAUGCAGGUGGUUUGUUAAGUCAGAUGUGAAAGCCCGGGGCUCAACCUCGGAAUUGCAUUUGAAACUGGCAAACUAGAGUACUGUAGAGGGGGGUAGAAUUUCAGGUGUAGCGGUGAAAUGCGUAGAGAUCUGAAGGAAUACCGGUGGCGAAGGCGGCCCCCUGGACAGAUACUGACACUCAGAUGCGAAAAGCGUGGGAGCAAACAGGAUUAGAUACCCUGGUAGCGUAG